CACCACAAUACGAUACAAUAGGUAACAACCAUAUCCAAACAACAAGUUGUAUAAGUAAAAAUCAAAAAACAAAUAUUAUAGUUAAACGAACACCACAAUAUGAUACAAUAGGUAACAACCAUAUCCAAACAACAAGUUGUAUAAGUAAAAAUC